AUGGGAAGAAACCUCUUGUGGAUCUUCCCUUGCUCUCCAUCUUCUCCAAAGCCUCCUCCUGAGGGCAGGCCUGUUCUGAAAGCCCCGAUCUCCUGGCUGGCUCUGCCUGGUCCUUCGGAUGCUGAAGACCUGAGGUCAGAAAGCCCUGGACUCAGGAGAAAAAGACUUGGAAGAGGAGACGAGCAGUCGAGAGGAACGUUUCAGGGGAUGAGGAGUGAGCAAAGACGGAAAGCGCUGUCUCCAACUGUCAUCUCGCAGCUCCUCCAACUCCACGUGUGUGAAGUGGCCUCAUCUCAUCCCUAAGCCUUACCUGCUCUUCUUCUGGGUUCAGUAAGUGGGUGAGCGUUGCCUGCUGUUCCUCAUCUCCCGAGCUACUGUGUCCUGGAAUCUUAGUCUUCCUUUCCUUCCCCGACAUGAGCCAAGUUAACAUUAUUCUGUUGAUCACAGAUCUUUUCAUCUCUCUUGGUUCUCUCUGCUGUCAGUGCCAUCCAUGGACUGUGUGGUUACAGCCCUAACUACAUCUCAUCUGCAGUCCAUUCUCCAUACCGUAGCCACAGUGUCUUCUGAAAUAGCAACUUAAUCCAUUCUCCUAUGUAAAAUCCUUUAACAGGAUUCCAUUUGCCUCAGGGUAAAGUCUAAAAUCUUUGUUUUAAAAAAUCUUAUUUAUUUACUUAUUUUAUUACAUUUUAAAGAGGGAGAGAGAGAAAGAGAGAGAGAAAUUGUGUGUUCACUCCCCAAAUGGCUGCAACGGCUGG
rnacentral:lncRNA from 1 species